rnacentral:rRNA from 1 species
UACGUAGGGGGCUAGCGUUAUCCGGAAUUACUGGGCGUAAAGGGUGCGUAGGUGGUUUCUUAAGUCAGAGGUGAAAGGCUACGGCUCAACCGUAGUAAGCCUUUGAAACUGGGAAACUUGAGUGCAGGAGAGGAGAGUGGAAUUCCUAGUGUAGCGGUGAAAUGCGUAGAUAUUAGGAGGAACACCAGUGGCGAAGGCGGCGACCUGGGCCAAUAUUGACGCUGAGGUGCGAAAGCGUGGGGAGCAAACAGG